UACGUAGGUGGCAAGCGUUGUCCGGAAUUAUUGGGCGUAAAGCGCGCGCAGGCGGUCCUUUAAGUCUGAUGUGAAAGCCCACGGCUCAACCGUGGAGGGUCAUUGGAAACUGGGGGACUUGAGUGCAGAAGAGGAGAGUGGAAUUCCACGUGUAGCGGUGAAAUGCGUAGAGAUCGGGAGGAACACCAGUGGCGAAGGCGGCUACCUGGACCAGCACUGACACUCAGACACGAAAGCGUGGGGAGCAAACAGG
rnacentral:rRNA from 1 species